rnacentral:rRNA from 1 species
UACGAAGGGGGCUAGCGUUGUUCGGAAUUACUGGGCGUAAAGCGCGCGCAGGCGGUUCUUCAAGUCAGUGGUGAAAGCCCGGAGCUCAACUCCGGAACUGCCAUUGAAACUGUGGAACUUGAGGAUGAGAGAGGUGAGUGGAAUUCCCAGUGUAGAGGUGAAAUUCGUAGAUAUUGGGAAGAACACCGGUGGCGAAGGCGGCUAUCUGGACAGAGUCUGACGCUGAGGCGCGAAAGCUAGGGGAGCAAACAGG